rnacentral:rRNA from 1 species
GAUGAACGCUGGCGGCGUGCCUAAUACAUGCAAGUCGAGCGAACAGACGAGGAGCUUGCUCCUCUGACGUUAGCGGCGGACGGGUGAGUAACACGUGGAUAACCUACCUAUAAGACUGGGAUAACUUCGGGAAACCGGAGCUAAUACCGGAUAAUAUAUUGAACCGCAUGGUUCAAUAGUGAAAUACGGUUUUGCUGUCACUUAUAGAUGGAUCCGCGCCGCAUUAGCUAGUUGGUAAGGUAACGGCUUACCAAGGCAACGAUGCGUAGCCGACCUGAGAGGGUGAUCGGCCAUACUGGAACUGAGACACGGUCCAGACUCCUACGGGAGGCAGCAGUAGGGAAUCUUCCGCAAUGGGCGAAAGCAUGACGGAGCAACGCCGCGUGAGUGAUGAAGGUCUUCGGAUCGUAAAACUCUGUUAUUAGGGAAGAAAAAAUGUGUAAGUAACUAUGCACGUCUUGACGGUACCUAAUCAGAAAGCCACGGCUAACUACGUG